GGUUCAUUCAAAUUUCUGCCCUAUCAACUUUCGAUGGUAGGAUAGUGGCCUACCAUGGUUUCAACGGGUAACGGGGAAUUAGGGUUCUAUUCCGGAGAAGGAGCCUGAGAAACGGCUACUACAUCCAAGGAAGGCAGCAGGCGCGCAAAUUACCCAAUCCCGACCGGGGAGGUAGUGACAAUAAAUACUGAUACAGGGCUCUUUCGAGUCUUGUAAUUGGAACGAGUACAAUUUAAAUCCCUUAACGAGGAACAAUUGGAGGGCAAGUCUGGUGCCAGCAGCCGCGGUAAUUCCAGCUCCAAUAGCGUAUAUUAAAGUUGUUGCAGUUAAAAAGCUCGUAGUUG
rnacentral:rRNA from 1 species